GACAUUGAACAUUUUAGCCACAAACGUUUGUUUGGAGUGUGGGGGGAAAUACAUAAUGGGUGUUAGUUUGUGUUUAAACAACAGGUUAAACACGGUGGAGAUACUACAUGUCUUAUCCUUUAUUUGGUUAUUAUAAAUAAUGACAGAUAUUGUCAAAUGAGGCACAAUGUGUGAGAACUAAGACAGGCCGUACAUAAUGAGUACUACUGUGAUUCAAAUAAAAAUAUUUUAAUAUUCAUUUUCAGAGGUGUUACACAUUUCAACAGCAGAAUAUAUGAUCAUAUUUUGCUUACCACUGAUGUGUUAAGCAUACAAAUUUAAGGUUACCAACAUUUUAUCGCAGUUACCUUUUACAUACUAAGGAAUGCUUGAUUAACAACCUUUUUAUUACAAUCAUGAACAAAUAUCCAAACGUUGGGAUGCACAGAAUAAUUCCUUGUAAACCAAUAUAUCAUCGUAUGCCAUUAAGAAUUGUUGUUCACGAUAAAGUGCCUACUUCAAACCGAUAAGCUGAUAAGUGUCACAUACAGAGCGGUCACCUGUUCAAAGGAUUGACAGUGUCAAAGUGCCUUGACUUUCAUAGUAAUAUCUUUAAAUGAAACAGAACUAAAUAAAAAGAUAUCGAGUUUCACAGCCUCUAAAGAAUUAUUCCUGUGCUAUAAGUAUUAUUGUGGUGCCUUAUUUGUCUUUUUUUUUCAAAGCGGGCUGCAACACAAACAUCUGUACAUGCGUGUAGCAUCAAAGGUUGUGUCGAGGAGAAAGGUGAGCAGGAGGACAACUGAACGCUGAAUAUUGAUGUUACAGAAAAUGUCAGAAGCAUUAGCGAGAAUCCAGGUGUGCGUGAAAACCAAAGAGCCUAAGAAUGACAAAACGACUUUGAGACAGCUGCACUGCAUGCUCAACACCACAGGCAGAUAUUGACAUUCCGAAUAGUUUAACCACCUGCAAAAUCCCCAUUCGCACAUUUCCGUGUAGACGGUAAAGAGAAUCUCAGAUAUUAAUUUGCAAGGUGAAAGAGAGAGACCUCCCUCUUGGUUUGUAGUGCAAAGCCAGGAUUACUGCAGCGUCUUCCGUCAAACCCAUUUCACAGUUUAACUGAAACCCAGGGUCCGCUCUCAAGAUGUGUAAUUCCCUGAAACGUGGGAUCCUCUGACACGGAGCUGUGAGCCCACCCGUGUGCAGUCUGCAGCAGAGACGCGCUGGGAUCAGACUAUAAAGAUAUCGUAGGUAUGCACUAACAAUGGGCAGCUCCAGGGUGGUUUGAUGAAGUCUUAAAUAACAGAGUUUUUACAUGUUAACCUUCUUGGGUUCUAUGUUCGUAUUUACACUACUUACAACUCACAAAACCUAUACCUAGACCCGCACACACGCACACACAUAGAAAAACACACAGGAAAACAGAGCACACACCCACACUCACCUCACAGCUCACACACACACACACACACAGUAUGUACCUCAAAUAUUUCCGGACAAAAUAUCAAAUCGUUUAAAAUGCACUUUGUCGAGAGGGUAAACUCAUACAUCUAUACUUUGGUCAUGACAUAAAUACAACUAAUAAUAACUAUACAUCAAUCACGUCAAAUACAAUUUUAAGGCAAAACUAGUCAAACGAGAGAAGGCCCCAACUAGGACGUGUCAAGUAUUUCUAUGUACAUUAUUUACUGGUAGAAAAAUAGGUUUGGCUUGCACAGUUGGGAGAGGUUAACGUGGAGAACGUGACCCCAUGCAGCGCAGCGUCCAUCAGGGAGAAGAUGAGGUUGCAUAACAGAUCUAUCAGCUCAAAUGCACUCCCGGUAAAUGGUACACUGGAUUCCCGGUGACAUUUCAAUAAUAGGUCCCAUCCCCCCACACCCACACCCCACCCAUUACAGUUUUCUUCGAUUGCAAAAGCCUGAUUUAUUUUGCCAACGAUAUUAACAUUUUGAAAGCAAUAGACACACAUACACACACACAGACAGACACACGCACAAACACACACACACACACACACACACACACACACACACACGCACACACAGACUCACUCACUCACACACAAUCAUCGAAAACAUGUUAAGACUAAAAGGACACAUUUCUUUUUCAGAAUGCACUCAAGUCUUUCCAACCAGGUACACAGAUUUAACGCAAGCGUCAACAAAUGAAAUGAGAUUACUCCCUCCCAGAGCCCCAAGGGCCCAUAGGCCUACAUACACAGCACAAACUGUGGAACCACUACCCUGACAGGGUAGAAUCAUCCAUGAAACCUUGGUGUAUAUUCUAGGCUAUCACUAUAUGUAUCAUAAUGAUUAAUUGCAAUAAGGCCAGCAGGACUUUACCCUACUGUCUCUCUUCAAUGCAUAACGGCAGAAACGAUGAGUGAAUAGGAUGCACAUGCACGUGUUGCCCUGCCCUCACCUCCAGCUGUUUGUACAUCUCCAUCGGUUGAACCGGGAGUUCCAGCUGUAAUCACACCAGAUAACGAGACUGAUUAAUUUUACAGCCCGGAGAAUCAUAUCGUGAGCAAAGUGUGCAUCACAUCAGUCUUCCGCGAGUUCCCUUAGCGCUGCGAUGUGCGGAUCAAACAGACGCAUAAUAGACGGCGCAACAAGACCGGGCCGAGCCUGUUAGCUAAGAGUCGUCUACUUCACUCUGUCACUGUUGCUUUGGAAACAACUUGCGAGGUUAUUGUCUGCCCGCUUCGGCCGUGAAAACAUCAGAUUAUUGAUUACCCACAAUCCCCCUGUGCAGGUGCGGAGAAAGGCUUUGAAAUCAGAAGGGUAGCAUCAUACCGAAUAAUUUCUGUGUUUGUGUGUUUGUGUGCGAGAGCAAUAGCAAAAUGAAACUAAUACCUCGUCGUAAAAAUGAAACGAACAGCCAAGGUUUGUCGUCACAUCUACAACCGCAGGAAAACUGGUCGAACAAAAAAAACCUCCUCCCACAAACGCUGGAGCGCUCACUCUGAGACUCGAUCAGAGAACACAACUGCUUAGGGGUCACAGCUCCCCGGUCCGACGGCGGCGGGGGGUCAAGGACAGAGUGGGGACUGGGUGCUGGAUUGUUAUCCACAGUUACAAUUUGUCUGGAAACAAGCGCCUCUCUGAGACGGCUGGACGUCCGCCUGCACACUAUCUAGUAGACGACACUAGAGUACAACUCUCUAGAAGAAAACAUAAAUACAACUCUUUGUUUCGUUUUUCCAAUUGGCAAUCCUAGCUGAUAAGGAAAUCAAAAUCACUGGAAUGAAACUUUGAUUUGGAUAGUGCAUAUAAUAUAAUAUCACAAUAAUAUCAACAUAAUAAUAUUUAAUACCACCACAGGGGGGCGGAGCUGGUUCUUCAUUGGGUCUCCCACUACUGGUUCAGGAGGGAGGGAGGAGGAGGGGGAGGGAGGAGGAUGAGGGAGGGAGGAGGGAAGGGUGGAGGGAGGAGGAGGAGGGAGG
ensembl:lncRNA